UACGGAGGGAGCUAGCGUUGUUCGGAAUUACUGGGCGUAAAGCGCACGUAGGCGGAUUGCUAAGUCAGGGGUGAAAUCCUGGAGCUCAACUCCAGAACUGCCUUUGAUACUGGCGACCUUGAGUCCGGGAGAGGUGAGUGGAACUGCGAGUGUAGAGGUGAAAUUCGUAGAUAUUCGCAAGAACACCAGUGGCGAAGGCGGCUCACUGGCCCGGUACUGACGCUGAGGUGCGAAAGCGUGGGGAGCAAACAGG
rnacentral:rRNA from 1 species